AAUGAACGUUGGCGGCGUGGAUUAGGCUUGCAAGUCGUGCGGAAAGGCUCCUUCGGGAGUACUCGAGCGGCGAAAGGGAGAGUAACGCGUGGGUAUCUACCCCCUGGCCUGGGAUAGCGGCGGGAAACUGCAGGUAAUUCCAGCUAAUACCUGCGGAUCCAAGGUGUGACUCCGCCGGGGGAUGAGUUCGCGGCCUAUGAGCUAGUUGGUGAGGUAACGGCCCACCAAGGCUGAGAUGGGUGCCGGGUGUGAGAGCAUGGCCCGGCUCACUGGGACUGAGACACUGCCCAGCCACCUACGGGUGGCUGCAGUCGAGAAUCUUCGGCAAUAGGCGCAAGCCUGACCGAGCGACGCCGCGUGCGGGAUGAAGGCCUUCGGGUUGUAAACCGCUGUCAGAGGGGAGGAAAUGCAUGGGGGUUCUCCCUCAUGUUUGACCUAUCCUCAGAGGAAGUACGGGCUAAGUUCGUGCCAGCCGCGCCGUAA
rnacentral:rRNA from 1 species